AUAGAGACUCAGAGCUGCAUAUCAAUAAGCGGAGGAAAAGAAACUAACAAGGAUUCCCCUAGUAACGGCGAGUGAAGCGGGAAGAGCUCAAAUUUGAAAUCUUCAAGGGUUUCCCUUGACGAAUUGUAGUUUAAAGAAGUGUUUUCUGUUGAAGUUUUCGGUAAAAGUUCUUUGGAAUAGGACAUCAUAGAGGGUGAGAAUCCCGUAUUUGACCAUUUACUUUCCAGCUUGCUCGAUACACUUUCAAAGAGUCGGAUUGUUUGGGAAUGCAGUCCAAAAUGGGUGGUAAAUUUCAUCUAAAGCUAAAUAUUGGCGAGAGACCGAUAGCGAACAAGUACCGUGAGGGAAAGAUGAAAAGAACUUUGAAAAGAGAGUUAAACAGUACGUGAAAUUGUCAAAAGGGAAGCGUUUGACACCAGUGUUGUUUUUCCGAAAAUCAAUUACGAAUGUUUUGUUUUUGAGGAGUUAUGACUUCAUCGGCUUGCUCCUUUCUUUAUGAAACUUUCUUAAUGCACUUUUCGGUUAACAAGUCAACAUCAAUUUCUUUUGUUGUAAAAGGGUAUGAGGAAGGUGGCUUUCUUUUCGGAGAAAGUGUUUAUAGCCUUGUGCCUCUGCAAUCGGAGAGAUUGAGGUCUGCAGCGUAGAUCCUUCGGGGUUAGAUACAGUUUGUGCUAAGUUAUAGCUUUUCAUAGACAACUUGUUGACUAUGUUUAGUCUUGUAGACUUACUCGCUGACGCUAUUUUACCUACGCUUAGGAUGUUGAAGAUAUGCGCGACACG
rnacentral:rRNA from 1 species